rnacentral:rRNA from 1 species
GACAGAGGGUGCAAACGUUGCUCGGAAUCACUGGGCGUAAAGGGCGUGUAGGCGGGAAGGAAAGUCGGGCGUGAAAUCCCUGGGCUCAACCCCAGGAACUGCACUCGAAACUUCUUUUCUUGAGUGCCGGAGAGGAAAGCGGAAUACCUGGUGUAGAGAUGAAAUUCGUAGAUAUCAGGUGGAACACCAGUGGCGAAGGCGGCUUUCUGGACGGUAACUGACGCUGAGACGCGAAAGCGUGGGGAGCAAACAGG